AGAGUUUGAUCGUGGCUCAGGAUGAAUGCUGGCGGCGUGGAUAGGGCAUGCAAGUCGAGCGGGUUUAGGCCCGCGGCGAACGAGGUAGGAACACGUAGGAACGAACCCGAGAGUCUGGUAUAUCCCGCCGAAAGGCGGAGCAAUCCCAGAUGGUCUCCCCGGAGUAAAGUCGCAAGACGCUCUCGGAUCGGCCUGCGUAGUAUCAGCUAGUUGGUAAGGUAAUGGCUUACCAAGGCUAUGACGCUUAGGGGAGGUGAGAGCCUGACCCCCACCGAUGGGACUGAGAUACGGCCCAUACACCUACGGGUGGCUGCAGUCGAGAAUAUUCCGCAAUGGGCGAAAGCCUGACGGAGCGACGCCGCGUGAUGGAUGAAGCCCUUAGGGGCGUAAACAUCUUUUAUGAGAGAAGAAGUCCGCAAGGACAUUGACGGUACCUCAUGAAUAAGGACCUGCUAAACUCGUGCCAGCAGCAGCGGUAAUACGAGUGGUCCAAGCAUUAUCCGGAAUUAUUGGGCGUAAAGGGUGUGUAGGUGGUCCUGUUCCGACUUGUCGGAAUUUACUAGUCUUUCGUUAAAGCUCCUGGCUUAACCGGGAAAAUGCGAGAGAAACGGCGGGACUAGAGGGUGCGAGAGGUUUGCAGAACUCAUGGUGUAGGGGUGAAAUCCGUUGAUAUCAUGGGGAAUACCAAAAGCGAAGGCAGCAAACUGGCGCACACCUGACACUGAAACACGAAAGCGUGGGUAGCGAACGGGAUUAGAUACCCCGGUAGUCCACGCCCUAAACGAUGUUCUCUAGCUUAUCGGAGUAUCGACCCUCUGAGAGGCGAAGCUAACGCGUUAAGAGAACCGCCUGGGAAGUACGGCCGCAAGGCUAAAACUCAAACGAAUAGACGGGGACUCGCACAAGCAGUGGAUCAUGCGGUUUAAUUCGACGAUAAACGAAGAACCUCACCAAGAUUUGAAACUCAUUUGAAAGUCCUAAGAAACUAGGACCCUCUCACAAGGACAAAUGGGCAGGUGAUGCAUGGCUGUCGUCAGUUCGUGGUUUGAAUUGUUCCCUUAAGUGGGGUAACGAACGCAACCCUCGUCGCGUGUUAUAAGUGUCACGCGAGACUACCUCGUUUUCCGAGGAGGAAGUGAGGAUGACGCCAAGUCAGCAUGUCCCUUUGACAUCUUGGGCUACACGCAUGAUACAAUGGCCGCUACAAUUGGUCGCGACGGAGUAAUCCUGAGCUAAUCCAUAAAGGCGGCCCCAGUUCGGAUUGAGGUCUGCAACUCGACCUCAUGAAGCCGGAAUUGCUAGUAAUCGCAGGUCAGCUAUACUGCGGUGAAUACGUUCUCGAGUCUUGUACUCACCGCCCGUCAAGCCAGGGGAGCCGGUAGUGCCCAAAGUCUGCGUUCGCGCGGCCUAAGGCAAGAUCGGUAACAAGGGUUAAGUCGUAACAAGGCACGGGUAGCGGAAGCUGCUCGUG
rnacentral:rRNA from 1 species